CUUUAUAUCCCUCUGCGUUCAGAUAAAAC
rfam:Bacillus smithii strain DSM 4216, complete genome.